CGGGAGGCAGCAGUUAGGAAUCUUCGGCAAUGGGCGAAAGCCUGACCGAGCGACACUGCGUGGAGGAUGAAGGUUUUCGGAUCGUAAACUCCUGAACGAGGGACGAAAAAUGACGGUACCUCGCUAAUAGCACCGGCUAACUCCGUGCCAGCAGCCGCGGUAGUACGGAGGGUGCGAGCGUUAUCCGGAAUCACUGGGCGUAAAGGGCGCGUAGGCGGUUUGUUAAGUCCGAUGUUAAAGCGUGAGGCUCAACCUCAUAUGAGCGUUGGAUACUGGCGAGCUGGACGGUUGGAGAGGAAGGUAGAAUUACCAGUGUAGCGGUGGAAUGCGUAGAUACUGGUAGGAAUACCCAUUGCGAAGGCAGCCUUCUGGACAACACGUGACGCUGAGGCGCGAAAGUGCGGGGAGCAAACCGGAUUAGAUACCCGGGUAGUCCACACCCUAAAC
rnacentral:rRNA from 1 species